rnacentral:rRNA from 1 species
UUUAAACGUCCCCUUGCCCCUUUUUGGUAACAACACCCGGCCCCCGUUCGGCUUAACUUACCCCGAAUUUGGGAAUGGGCUUCGGGGUGAGGGCCCUUUUCGGGAACUGGGCUUCAGGGGGAGGUUUGGCAAACGACCCCCCCCAGAGCCGGGAAAGGUUGGUCAAAACCCGGUCAUUUAGAGGAAGUUAAAAGUCGUAACAAGGUUUCCGUAGGUGAACCUGCGGAAGGAUCAUUACUGAGUGAGGGUCCCUCGGGGCCCAACCUCCCACCCGUGUAUACCGUACCUUGUUGCUUCGGCGAGCCCGCCCCCUUUUUCUUUUAGGGGGCACAGCGCUCGCCGGAGACACCAACGUGAACACUGUCUGAAGUUUUGUCGUCUGAGUCGAUUGUAUCGCAAUCAGUUAAAACUUUCAACAAUGGAUCUCUUGGUUCCGGCAUCGAUGAAGAACGCAGCGAAAUGCGAUAAUUAAUGUGAAUUGCAGAAUUCAGUGAAUCAUCGAGUCUUUGAACGCACAUUGCACCCCNUGGUAUUCCGGGGGGUAUGCCUGUCCGAGCGUCAUUGCUGCCCUCAAGCACGGCUUGUGUGUUGGGUCGUCGUCCCCCCCCAGGGGGACGGGCCCGAAAGGCAGCGGCGGCACCGCGUCCGGUCCUCGAGCGUAUGGGGCUUUGUCACCCGCUCUUGUAGGCCCGGCCGGCUGCUGGCCGACGCUGAAAAGCAACCGAACUAUUUAAUCCAGGUUGACCUCGAUUCAGGUA